GGGAAUAUUGCACAAUGGGGGAAACCCUGAUGCAGCGACGCCGCGUGAGUGAAGAAGUAUUUCGGUAUGUAAAGCUCUAUCAGCAGGGAAGAAAAUGACGGUACCUGACUAAGAAGCCCCGGCUAACUACGUGCCAGCAGCCGCGGUAAUACGUAGGGGGCAAGCGUUAUCCGGAUUUACUGGGUGUAAAGGGAGCGUAGACGGCUAUUGCAAGUCUGAAGUGAAAACCCAGGGCUCAACCUUGGGACUGCUUUGGAAACUGUAGAGCUUGAGUACCGGAGGGGUAAGCGGAAUUCCUAGUGUAGCGGUGAAAUGCGUAGAUAUUAGGAGGAACACCAGUGGCGAAGGCGGCUUACUGGACGGUAACUGACGUUGAGGCUCGAAAGCGUGGGGAGCAAACAGGA
rnacentral:rRNA from 1 species